UACGUAGGGUGCAAGCGUUGUCCGGAAUUAUUGGGCGUAAAGAGCUCGUAGGCGGUUUGUCGCGUCUGCUGUGAAAACGCGGGGCUCAACUCCGCGCCUGCAGUGGGUACGGGCAGACUAGAGUGCAGUAGGGGGAGACUGGAAUUCCUGGUGUAGCGGUGGAAUGCGCAGAUAUCAGGAGGAACACCGGUGGCGAAGGCGGGUCUCUGGGCUGUAACUGACGCUGGAGGAGCGAAAGCGUGGGUAGCGAACAGG
rnacentral:rRNA from 1 species